rnacentral:rRNA from 1 species
GACGAACGCUGGCGGCGCGCUUAACACAUGCAAGUCGAGCGAAGCGGCGGAAGGGGGAGUAACACGUGAGUAACCUGCCUUAGACAUGGGGAUAGCCUCGGGAAACCGGGAUUAAUACCAAAUGGUCUAAGAUGGACUCGCGUCCCAUUAGCUAGUGGGUGAGGUAACGGCCCACCAAGGCGACGAUGGGUAGCCGGCCUUAGAGGGUGAACCGCCACAUUGGAACUGGGAAUCAGUCCAAACUCUGCGGUAGGCAGCAGAGGGGAAUAGUGCACAAUGGAGUGAACUCUGAUGCAGCGACGCCGGGUGAACGAAGAACGCUUUCGAGUCGUAAAGUUCUUUUAUAUGGGAAGCGGUACCAUAAGAAAAAGCCCCGGCUAACUACGUGCCAGCAGCCGCGGUAAUUC